GCCCCCCGAAUUGUGGUCUAGAAAGGCGCCAUCGGCCGCGUCCGUCGCCCAAAUCCCUUGGAACAGGGCAUCGGAGAAGGUGAGAAUCCUGUACCGUGGCGGUGCGCGGCCGCACGAUGCGCCCUUGUCGAGUCGGGUUGCUUGGGAUUGCAGCUUGAAGUGGGUGGUAAAUUCCAUCUAAAGCUAAAUAUUGGCGAGAGACCGAUAGCGAACAAGUACCGUGAGGGAAAGAUGCAAAGAACUUUGAAAAGAGAGUCAAAGAGUGCUUGAAAUUGGUGGGAGGAAACCCGGUUGGGCCCAGCGUCGGCGCGUCGACUCAGCCGCGAUCGUUCGCGGUGCACUUUGUCGCGCCGGGUCAGCCGCCACUCGGCCGCGGCAUGCAACGCGGGUGAGGCCUCCGGGCGACCCCGCCUUCACCGCGGCACGGGUGCCGGCUGACGGAAUGGGCCCCACCGACCCGUCUAGAAACACGGACCAAGGAGUCUGACACGAGUGCGAGUACCCGGGUGGCAAGCCCGCGUGCGCAAUGAAAGUGAAGGCAUGCCCUGCCAACCGACCUUGACCUGCUGUGAAGGGUUUGAGUGGAGCACAUCUGUCGGGACCCGAAAGAUGGUGAACUAUGCCUGAGGAGGGUGAAGCCAGAGGAAACUCUGGUGGAGGCUCGUAGCGAUACUGACGUGCAGAUCGUUCGUCGAACUUGGGUAUAGGGGCGAAAGACUAAUCGAACCAUCUAGUAGCUGGUUCCCUCCGAAGUUUCCCUCAGGAUAGCUUGAACGCAACGGUUUUG
rnacentral:rRNA from 1 species